AACACUAAAUAAUUCUAGAAGCUGUCUGCUCCUCUUGGUAAAUGCACCAGGUCAUUUAACAAAGCUAUGAUUUCACUUUUUUAAUCUCAUAAACUUUGAGAACUUUUCACAUUCUCACACUAUUGAAAGACGUUAGCCAUGACCUCUGUGGUUCACGGCCGACGUGACACAUCAUUUCCUUCAAAACAACACCCCACUCCCUCUUCCCCCCACCUUUUCACAGAAAUAUUUAUUGGUGAUGAACUGUCAGUCUGUCUUUUUCUCUGGCUUAUGGUCAUCAUGUUUCAUCCAAACCAAGCAGCUCUGCUCUCCUUAUUAUUUAUGCACGGGGUCUUUGCAGCGGAUCAAAAAGUCGUCCACACGGAUGAAGAGGUGUCCAGGGGAGGCUCUGUCAUCUUUACUUGCAACACAUCAAGAGAAAAUACAAAACAAAUCAACUGGAGCAAAGGCAGAUUUCGUUUUUCUCAUUCAAUGGAAGGAAAUGUGACUGUUUCAAAUUUAACCUCUGACAGACUGACAAUAGAUCUAUCCUCAAAGCUGAUUAUUUCUAAUGCUCAGGAAGAUGAUGAAGGACUAUAUACAUGUCAUUUAACUGAAUCUUCAGGGUCAAAGACUUAUCAGUGGAAUUUAACCGUGUCUGACAAACCUGAAGAGGAGAAGUCAUCGGGGUAUUUCCUAUACAUACUCACAGCUGGGAUUGGAUUCCUUCUAUGUGGCAUCCCUCCAGCUGUUUAUCUCUGC